rnacentral:ncRNA from 2 species
GGAAAUUAAUCCAUUUUAGGUGCCCUUUGGGGAGAAUAGGGAAGUUCGGAUAAAGCAAACCAGCUGAAAGUUAUGCUUUCUGAUAGUAAAAACCGACGCGGACCCACCACUGUAGUCGAGGAGCCUCGCUGACCACUGGCCUAAGCCGGGAAGGCUGCGAAACGGCGAUGAUUCGAUAGCCAGGAGACCUGCCUAAAAUGUUGACGGCUU